rnacentral:rRNA from 1 species
AGCAUCCUACGGGGGGCAGCAGUAGGGAAUUUUCGUCAAUGGGCGCAAGCCUGAACGAGCAAUGCCGCGUGAACGAGGAAGGUCUUCGGAUCGUAAAGUUCUGUUGAAGGGGAAAAAGAGCGGAGAGAGGAAAUGAACUCCGAUUGAUAUUACCCUUCGAGGAAGUCACGGCUAACUACGUGCCAGCAGCCGCGGUAAUACGUAGGUGGCGAGCGUUAUCUGGAAUGAUUGGGCGUAAAGGGUGCGUAGGCGGCCUGCUAAGUCUGGAGUGAAAGGCAGGGGCCCAACCCCUGGUCUGCUCUGGG